rnacentral:rRNA from 1 species
GAUGAACGCUGGCGGCGUGCCUAAUACAUGCAAGUCGAGCGAACAGAUGAGGAGCUUGCUCCUCUGACGUUAGCGGCGGACGGGUGAGUAACACGUGGAUAACCUACCUAUAAGACUGGGAUAACUCCGGGAAACCGGAGCUAAUACCGGAUAAUAUAUUGAACCGCAUGGUUCAAAAGUGAAAGACGGUUUUGCUGUCACUUAUAGAUGGAUCCGCGCCGUAUUAGCUAGUUGGUAAGGUAACGGCUUACCAAGGCGACGAUGCGUAGCCGACCUGAGAGGGUGAUCGGCCACACUGGAACUGAGACACGGUCCAGACUCCUACGGGAGGCAGCAGUAGGGAAUCUUACGCAAUGGGCGAAAGCCUGACGGAGCAACGCCGCGUGAGUGAUGAAGGUCUUCGGAUCGUAAAACUCUGUUAUUAGGGAAGAACAAAUGUGUAAGUAACUGUGCACGUCUUGACGGUACCUAAUCAGAAAGCCACGGCUAACUACGUG